rnacentral:rRNA from 1 species
CCAUGCCGCGUGUGUGAAGAAGGCCUUAUGGUUGUAAAGCACUUUAAGCGAGGAGGAGGCUACUUUAGUUAAUACCUAGAGAUAGUGGACGUUACUCGCAGAAUAAGCACCGGCUAACUCUGUGCCAGCAGCCGCGGUAAUACAGAGGGUGCAAGCGUUAAUCGGAUUUACUGGGCGUAAAGCGCGCGUAGGCGGCUAAUUAAGUCAAAUGUGAAAUCCCCGAGCUUAACUUGGGAAUUGCAUUCGAUACUGGUUAGCUAGAGUGUGGGAGAGGAUGGUAGAAUUCCAGGUGUAGCGGUGAAAUGCGUAGAGAUCUGGAGGAAUACCGAUGGCGAAGGCAGCCAUCUGGCCUAACACUGACGCUGAGGUGCGAAAGCAUGGGGAGCAAACAGGAUUAGAUACCCUGGUAGUCCAUGCCGUAAACGAUGUCUACUAGCCGUUGGGGCCUUUGAGGCUUUAGUGGCGCAGCUAACGCGAUAAGUAGACCGCCUGGGGAGUACGGUCGCAAGACUAAAACUCAAAUGAAUUGACGGGGGCCCGCACAAGCGGUGGAGCAUGUGGUUUAAUUCGAUGCAACGCGAAGAACCUUACCUGGCCUUGACAUAGUAAGAACUUUCCAGAGAUGGAUUGGUGCCUUCGGGAACUUACAUACAGGUGC